rnacentral:ncRNA from 1 species
UACCUGGUUGAUCCUGCCAGUAGUCAUAUGCUUGUCUCAAAGAUUAAGCCAUGCAAGUCUAAGUACGAGCUCUCGUACAGUGAAACUGCGAAUGGCUCAUUAAAUCAGUUAUGGUUCAUUUGAUCGUACAGUUUACUUGGAUAACUGUGGUAAUUCUAGAGCUAAUACAUGCGAGAAGCGCCGACCUCGCGGGAGGCGUGCAUUUAUCAGACCAAAAACCGGCCGCGUCUUCGGGCGCGUUCGCCUUGGUGACUCUGGAUAACUUUGCGGAUCGCACGGUCUAGCACCGGCGACGGAUCAUUCAAGUGUCUGCCCUAUCAACUUUCGUCGGUACGGUAUUUGCCUACCGAGGUUCUUACGGGUGACGGGGAAUCAGGGUUCGAUUCCGGAGAGGGAGCCUGAGAAACGGCUACCACAUCCAAGGAAGGCAGCAGGCGCGCAAAUUACCCAUUCC